UACAGAGGGGGGCAAGCGUUGUUCGGAAUUACUGGGCGUAAAGGGCGCGUAGGCGGCCUGUUAAGUCGAACGUGAAAUCCCCCGGGCUCAACCCGGGAACUGCGUCCGAUACUGGCAGGCUUGAAUCCGGGAGAGGGAUGCGGAAUUCCAGGUGUAGCGGUGAAAUGCGUAGAUAUCUGGAGGAACACCGGUGGCGAAGGCGGCAUCCUGGACCGGCAUUGACGCUGAGGCGCGAAAGCGUGGGGAGCAAACAGG
rnacentral:rRNA from 1 species